rnacentral:lncRNA from 1 species
UUUUUUUUCACUUGAGUUUAUUUGUAACAAAAAAACUUGUGUCGACAAAGAACAGAAUUUCAUACAGACUUUUUGUUAUUUUUUUUCCAGUGUCGCCGCAGGGAACGGAAGAAAAAUGACAAAGCACUUGUUUCACUCAAAACAGAAAACCGUUUACAUGUACAGGUUGUUCGGAGGUCAUUUGAUUAUUUCCUUUUAACACGCCAUAUUCUGUUUAAAAUGUCUCUUUUUUUUUUUUUUUUAAUAAACUCCAGUUUUAUUCAUCCACAUGACACAUUUGGGGGGGAAAAUAACAAUUGAUUUAUUAAUUUAUGUGAUAGUUUAUAGUUUUAUUUAGUGGUAGCAUGACCAGAGGGUGACAUAUUACACAUAAGUGACUGUGAUAGAAGCUUUCAUUAAAAUCUGUUUUAUUUAUUUAAUAGUUAUUUAUUUGUAGAUUUUAUUCUUCGUGUUCUGUGUUAUUUACAUAUACACAAUGUAGUAAGCAUCGAGAGUUGAUCUUGACUGACAAACACAAGUUCAAGUAACAUAGUUUGGGGGAGUGAUAUCAGAAUCAGACAUGAGGAAAUCAUUUCAAAAUACUGUAUCUGGGCUUGAUUGAGCUUGCCUGGAGCAACGGAACCAAUAGAACAGUCGCAACAACAAAAAAACACCCACAAACCCCGCCCAUCUGGCACUCCAGGCAGGGUAGAGCAAACGCUUGAAGUAUUUGAACCCGUGUCUGAACAGAACCAACAAGGUGGUAGUAUUAUAGUAGUAGUGCAUAGUACAAAGAGAGAAAGUGCUAAAUCUUCCCAUCAAGGUGUUUGCCAAGGGACCGUCUCAAAAGUCCUGGUAGGCUACCAAUACCAUGCAUAUAAAAAGACAACCGUCUACGUCCCAAAAUGGCUCCCUAUUACCCUAUAUAGUGCACUACUUUUGACCUGUGCCUAUGGGUAGUAGUGCACUAUAAAGGGAAUAGGGUGUCAUUUUUUGGGACGCACACGACGAUCCGUGUCACUGUAAGAUGUACAGCGAGGUGGUGGACAAUACAAAGUUGUGAAGAAUGAAUGAGCGAGUUCCAAAACGAUGCUUUUUCUGUGUCGUACAUAGAGGACAGUGUAGAGAGUAACAAUAGGAACCGGAGCUUUGUCACAUGACCAACGACAGCCGGGGGGAAAACGGACAACGGAAUUCUAAUUAACACAGGAUGCGUCUGAAAUGGCACCCUAGUCCCAUAUGUAGAAUAUACUGCGAUGGAUGCAGACACAGUCAGACAAGAAGGUUCACUGUUUUCUUUAAAUAAAAAGGGAGGUUUCAACUGGAAUGGAAUGCAAAAGCACAAACGUGGUGGUGGUGGUGGUGGUGGUGUGGUUGGACUGGGCCAGAGUUACAACAAAAUACAAUGUCAAAGCCAUUGUCAUGUAUCUUUAUAUAGAAGUGUAGCUAAGUUACUGUGACUUGUUUGUUAUCUCUCUGUCUGUGCCAAACCCAUAAUUGGGUACUGUUGGAAUUGGCAACUUUCACAGGAGUCAAAUUGAAGUCUCUAGGAGAAUACAAGAAUACAUACCAAGCGCCAUGAAGAAAAAAACAAAACAACGUGACACUUUGGAACAAAAGAAUGUCACUGACUCAGUCAAGCUUGACUGACUUGACAGAUUGUCAGGACUCAAUACCCAAAACACUACGCCUAUGUCCAAAAUGGCACCCUAUUCCCUAUAUAGUGCACUACUUUUGACCAGAGCCCUAUGACCCCUGGUCAAAAGUAGUGCACUCUAUCAGGAAUAGGGUACAAUAGGAUGCAGAAAACAACUCUCAUCAACAUAUUUGUGCAGAUAACACUUAUUUUAAAUCCCAUGCUGAGGUUUAUCUCAGGUCCUAGCUGUUGACCAUGUUGGGGUUUAAACCAAAGACAUUACACUAGGUUAGCUGUUGACUGUUGUGGGGUUUAAACCAAAGACAUUACACUAGGUUAGCUGUUGACUGUUGUGGGGUUUAAACCAAAUACAUUACACUAGGUUAGCUGUUGACCAUGUUGGGGUUUAAACCAAAGACAUUAUACUAGGUUAGCUAGCUGUUGACCAUGAUGGGGUUUAAACCAAAGACAUUACACUAGGUUAGCUGUUGACCAUGAUGGGGUUUAAACCAAAGACAUUACACUAGGUUAGCUGUUGACCAUGAUGGGGUUUAAACCAAAGACAUUACACUAGGUUAGCUAGCUGCUGAUCAUGAUGGGGUUUAAACCAAAGACAUUACACUAGGUUAGCUGUUGACCAUGUUGGGGUUUAAACCAAAGACAUUACACUAGGUUAGCUGUUGACCAUGAUGGGGUUUAAACCAAAGACAUUACACUAGGUUAGCUAGCUGUUGACCAUGAUGGGGUUUAAACCAAAGACAUUACACUAGGUUAGCUAGCUGUUGACCAUGAUGGGGUUUAAACCAAAGACAUUACACUAGGUUAGCUGUUGACCAUGAUGGGGUUUAAACCAAAGACAUUACACUAGGUUAGCUGUUGACCAUGAUGGGGUUUAAACCAAAGACAUUACACUAGGUUAGCUGUUGACCAUGUUGGGGUUUAAACCAAAGACAUUACACUAGGUUAGCUGUUGAUCAUGAUGGGGUUUAAACCAAAGACAUUACACUAGGUUAGCUGCUGAUCAUGAUGGGGUUUAAACCAAAGACAUUACACUAGGUUAGCUAGCUGUUGACCAUGUUGGGGUUUAAACCAAAGACAUUACACUAGGUUAGCUGUUGACUGUUGUGGGGUUUAAACCAAAGACAUUACACUAGGUUAGCUGUUGACUGUUGUGGGGUUUAAACCAAAUACAUUACACUAGGUUAGCUGUUGACCAUGUUGGGGUUUAAACCAAAGACAUUACACUAGGUUAGCUAGCUGCUGACCAUGAUGGGGUUUAAACCAAAUACAUUACACUAGGUUAGCUGUUGACCAUGAUGGGGUUUAAACCAAAGACAUUACACUAGGUUAGCUGUUGACUGUUGUGGGGUUUAAACCAAAGACAUUACACUAGGUUAGCUGUUGACUGUUGUGGGGUUUAAACCAAAUACAUUACACUAGGUUAGCUGUUGACCAUGAUGGGGUUUAAACCAAAGACAUUACACUAGGUUAGCUGUUGACUGUUGUGGGGUUUAAACCAAAGACAUUACACUAGGUUAGCUGUUGACCAUGAUAGGGUUUAAACCAAAGACAUUACACUAGGUUAGCUAGUUGCUGACCAUGAUAGGGUUUAAACCAAAGACAUUACACUAGGCUGGUCAUUUGUUGCCUAGAUGAAGGUGAAUGAGAGAAGUGGUGAAUGAAAAACAGAAUGACUCUUCCAUAAACUCCCAUAACAUAUCAUAACAUACUAAAAACAACCAUAACAACCAAAUCCUUUACAUCACACACGCAAUGGACAUUCCAGUUAACAUACAUACAUACCAUAACACACAGUUAUUACUAACAUAACUUAAACUUUAUCAAAAUAGGCGAGUAUUAUAAGGCACUAUAUAGUCUAAACUUAACAAUACUUAUUUGAUGCUGUUUGGAAAUACCACAAGUUGUUGCUCAUUCAUUGCUGUGAUACACACAAAAGGAUGACAUCAUCUACUUGUGCCAUGACAAGACAAAAAUGUAUCUACUUCCUGGGUCAAAGGUCCUUGAAACGGACACGUUUCAUUGGGCAGGUGCAAUAUCAGUCAUAAUAACACCGUGGUGCCUGAAAAGAUAGGUCCUCGUCAACAUUAUACAUGGCGAAACUUGAGUAGUGAGACACUUGACAGAAAUAUAAUAGUCACACAUAUACUUAUUGCACGGGUACUGAAUCAGAGAGAGAACGCUUAUAUAUCUGGGAGCAUUCCAAUGAGAAAAUUACCUUCACCCAUUCCUCCCUCCUUUCCUCCAUCCCUCCCUCCUUUCCCCAUCCCUCCCUCCAUCCCUCCCUCCUUUCCUCCCUCCUUUCCUCCAUCCCUCCCUCCCUCCUUUCCUCAUCCCUCCCUCCCUCCUUUCACCCAUCCCUCCCUCCUUCACCCACCCAUUCCUCCCUCCUUCA